rnacentral:rRNA from 1 species
UCAAAAACAUGUCCUUUUUGCGAUUGAUAUAAGGUCUAACCUGCCCAAUGAUUAAUUUCAAUGGCCGCGGUAUUUUAACUGUGCUAAGGUAGCAUAAUCAUUUGUCUUUUAAUUGAAGGCUAGAAUGAAUGGUUGGACGAGGUAUAUACUUUCUUUAAUUUAGUUAUUGAAUUUAAUUUUUUAGUUAAAAAGCUGAAAUGUUUUUGAGGGACGAGAAGACCCUAUAGAUCUUUAUAUAUAAAUUUAUUAUAUAUUUUGGUGAGUUAAUUAUUCUUAAUAAUUUUAUGUAUUUGGUUGGGGCGAUUGUAGAAUUUUUAUAACUUCUAUUUUUAUUUAUCAAAAAUUAAUGUUUAGUUGAUCCAAUAUUAUUGAUUAUAAUAUUAAGUUACCUUAGGGAUAACAGCGUAAUUUCUUUGGAGAGUUCUUAUCGAUAAAGAAGUUUGCGACCUCGAUGUUGGAUUAAAAUAAGUAGUAGGUGCAGGAACUUAGCUAACUAGGUCUGUUCGACCUUUAAUUUUUUACAUGAUCUGAGUUCA